CCUACGGGCGGCUGCAGUGGGGAAUAUUGGACAAUGGGCGAAAGCCUGAUCCAGCCAUGCCGCGUGUGUGAAGAAGGCCUUCGGGUUGUAAAGCACUUUCAGUGGGGAAGAAAGCCUUGGGGCUAAUACCCUCGAGGAAGGACAUCACCCACAGAAGAAGCACCGGCUAACUCCGUGCCAGCAGCCGCGGUAAUACGGAGGGUGCGAGCGUUAAUCGGAAUUACUGGGCGUAAAGCGCGCGUAGGCGGUCUGAUAAGCCGGUUGUGAAAGCCCCGGGCUCAACCUGGGAACGGCAUCCGGAACUGUCAGGCUAGAGUGCAGGAGAGGAUGGUAGAAUUCCCGGUGGAGCGGUGAAAUGCGGAGAGAUCGGGAGGAAUCCCAGUGGCGAAGGCGGCCUUCUGGACUGACACUGACGCUGAGGUGCGAAAGCGUGGGUAGCAAACAGGAUUAGAUACCCUAGUAGUC
rnacentral:rRNA from 1 species